AAUCAUCCAUCCAUACAAACAUGUUUGGGUAAUGUAAAAGUUAUCAAGAAAAUGGAUUCCAUGGGCUGUACGCUAUUUAACUUGAGGAGUCUACCAUUAGGAGGAGUCUAUUCCAGUUAGCACUUAGUAGUAUCAUCAAUUCUAGGCUUCUUGUGAGAAUUUACAAAAGGAAAAAAGAAAAAUCUGAGAUGUCAACUCCGUCAAUGGCCAUCGGAGUAGCCAUGUCGGAAUGCCGAUUACUUCUGGAAGAGAUGCUUGAUGGCUUCAGGGCUGCCGAGCAACAUUUCCGCAAUGCCGUUCAUGUCGAGCUGCCAGCAUUUAUCCCGCUAAUGGAUCAAGUCAGUGCUGAAAUUCAGGUUCUGUCGCAGACCGCCCAAGAUGUCAUGCAAAAUUUUGAUAAGAUGAACUACCUCUGUACAACGCAGCAAAAACUGGACAGCAUGAGCAAGGCUGUGGAUUAUGUGGACGGAGUAGUUGCAAAGAUCGAAGAAAAUAUGGAAUUCUACAACGCCGUGAAGGAUUCUUUCCAAAGUAAGAAAGAUAUAUUUGAUAAGUGUUCCGGGGUCGUCAAUGGUGAUCUCCCGUCACCGUCUAUUCUUAACCAGCUUGAUGCUAUUGAUGAAAAAUUGAGCAGUCUGACUGUAUCUUUCCGGGAGGUUGAUCAAGUGUUGAAUCCAAUCCGAGGGAGUAAUCUUGAUUAUGAUGAUGGUCAGGCGGCUGCAGGUCAUGAUAAUGUGGUGAGUUUUCGUGAUUAAGGUCCUGAUGACUGGUGGCCAUUAGAAGAGAGCCUCCGUCGGUGUUGACCCUACGAGUUGUGAUCGUACAAGAAUGAAACAGAAAACUACCAAAAAGGAGGGAUUUUAUGAAGAAUAUGGAGACUUCUAAGGGAUUCAAUCCUUGGGCCCUUGGAUUGGUGGGGACCACAAAGCUAUAAGUCAUUUGGGCUCUUCAAAGAAAGCUACGUAAAAGAGACUUGGAACAAGAAGUACUUUGGAGGCUUUGUCCACAUGUGUGGGGACCACCUAGAUAGCUUUAGUCUAUCUUUCUUUUGUUUCUUAAAUAGGGAUAACGUAGGGAAAGAAGACAUCUCUAGUUUUUAGUCUUUUAGUUUAGUUUUAGUUUUUCUUUCUCCUGACUGGCCUCUGACACACGCCAGGUGUUCGACGAUAUUC